rnacentral:rRNA from 1 species
UGGGGAAUUUUGGACAAUGGGCGAAGGCCUGAUCCAGCAAUGCCGCGUGUGUGAAGAAGGCCUUCGGGUUGUAAAGCACUUUUGUCCGGAAAGAAAUCCUUGGCUCUAAUACAGUCGGGGGAUGACGGUACCGGAAGAAUAAGCACCGGCUAACUACGUGCCAGCAGCCGCGGUAAUACGUAGGGUGCAAGCGUUAAUCGGAAUUACUGGGCGUAAAGCGUGCGCAGGCGGUUUGCUAAGACCGAUGUGAAAUCCCCGGGCUCAACCUGGGAACUGCAUUGGUGACUGGCAGGCUAGAGUAUGGCAGAGGGGGGUAGAAUUCCACGUGUAGCAGUGAAAUGCGUAGGGAUGUGGAGGAAUACCGAUGGCGAAGGCAGCCCCCUGGGCCAAUACUGACGCUCAUGCACGAAAGCGUGGGGAGCAAACAGGAUUAGAUACCCUGGUAGUCCACGCCCUAAAACGAUGUCAACUAGUUGUUGGGGAUUCAUUUCCUUAGUAACGUAGCUAACGCGUGAAGUUGACCGCCUGGGGAGUACGGUCGCAAGAUUAAAACUCAAAUGAAUUGACGGGGUCAUAGCUGUUUCCU